CGAAGGUGAAGCGGGGCUUCGGCCCCGUGGAAACUGGCGCACGGGUGAGUAACGCGUGGGAAUCUACCCCGGGGUGGGGAAUAACCGCUGGAAACGGCGGCUAAUACCGCAUACGCCUUGCGAGGGAAAGCUUUAGCGCCCUGGGACGAGCCCGCGUCGGAUUAGCUUGUUGGUGAGGUAACGGCUCACCAAGGCUUCGAUCCGUAGCUGGUCUGAGAGGAUGAUCAGCCACACUGGGACUGAGACACGGCCCAGACUCCUACGGGAGGCAGCAGUGGGGAAUAUUGGACAAUGGGGGCAACCCUGAUCCAGCCAUGCCGCGUGCGUGAAGAAGGCCUUAGGGUUGUAAAGCGCUUUCGGCGGGGAAGAUGAUGACGGUACCCGCAGAAGAAGCUCCGGCUAACUCCGUGCCAGCAGCCGCGGUAAUACGGAGGGGGCUAGCGUUGUUCGGAAUUACUGGGCGUAAAGGGCGCGUAGGCGGAUUGUCAAGUCAGAGGUGAAAGCCCUGGGCUCAACCUGGGAACUGCCUUUGAAACUAACGGUCUAGAGUCCGAGAGAGGAUGGCGGAAUUCCCAGUGUAGAGGUGAAAUUCGUAGAUAUUGGGAAGAACACC
rnacentral:rRNA from 1 species